UACUAAUCCACAGGGAGAGACUGCCGUAAUUCCACCACCACCACCACUUACUGUCGAUUGAGCCCUUGGAAUGUGCCAGCUCUGCACUGGGCUCUAUGCUCGGAUUAUCUAAUUUAAUCAUCACAACUGCGAUUUGAAGAUUGAACCCGGGACUUCAUGCAUCAUAGGCAGAAGCUGAAGCUUGAGGCAGCUGGAGAGAUGCCUUAGCAGUUGAAUACCUGAUACUCUAGCAGAGAACGCAUCACCUGAGUUCCAUUCCUAGCACCCAUGUAAGGUAAGC